rnacentral:misc_RNA from 2 species
CCAUAUAUCUCAGGGGAGAGCUUCGGCUCUCCUAUCUGAACCCUUGUCUUUUGAGUACUUGUUUGUUUCCUCGGCGGGCUUGCCUGCCGAUUGGACACCAUUUAAACCUUUUGUAAUUGCAAUCAGCGUCAGAAAAUCAUAAUAAUUA